UGCGGUGAUGAAGGAGUAAUUAAUCUCGUUAAUCUGAGAUUAACAUGAGGAUAAUCUCUCUAUCCAUUCAAAUUAUACUGAGC